UGGGGGAUAUUGCACAAUGGGGGGAACCCUGAUGCAGCGACGCCGCGUGGGCGAGGAAGCGUUUCGGCGCGUAAAGCCCUAUCGGCAGGGAAGAGAAAGGACGGUACCUGACUAAGAAGCGCCGGCUAAAUACGUGCCAGCAGCCGCGGUAACACGUAUGGCGCGAGCGUUAUCCGGAUUUACUGGGUGUAAAGGGAGCGCGGGCGGCCUGCCAAGUCCGGUGUGAAAGCCCGGGGCUCAACCCCGGGACCGCACUGGAAACUGGCGGGCUGGAGUUCCGGAGAGGCAGGCGGAAUUCCUGGUGUAGCGGUGAAAUGCGCAGAUAUCAGGAGGAACACCGGUGGCGAAGGCGGCCUGCCGGACGGACACUGACGCUGAGGCUCGAAAGCGUGGGGAGCGAACAGG
rnacentral:rRNA from 1 species